GCAGCCGCGGUAAUACGGAGGAUGCGAGCGUUAUCCGGAUUUAUUGGGUUUAAAGGGAGCGUAGACGGGAGAUUAAGUCAGCUGUGAAAGUUUGAGGCCCAACCUUAAAAUUGCAGUUGAUACUGGUUUCCUUGAGUGCGGUUGAGGUGUGUGGAAUUCGUGGUGUAGCGGUGAAAUGCUUAGAUAUCACGAAGAACUCCGAUUGCGAAGGCAGCACACUAAGCCGUAACUGACGUUGAGGCUCGAAAGUGUGGGUAUCAAACAGGAUUAGAUACCCC
rnacentral:rRNA from 1 species